rnacentral:rRNA from 1 species
AAGCCCGAGUAAACGGCGGCCGUAACUAUAACGGUCCUAAGGUAGCGAAAUUCCUUGUCGGUUAAAUACCGACCUGCAUGAAUGGCGUAACGAGAUGGGAGCUGUCUCAACCAGAGAUUCAGUGAAAUUGUAGUGGAGGUGAAAAUUCCUCCUACCCGCGGCAAGACGGAAAGACCCCGUGGACCUUUACUACAA